UACGGGGGGAGCAAGCGUUGUUCGGAUUUACUGGGCGUAAAGGGCGCGUAGGCGGUCAGCACAAGUCAGUUGUGAAAUCUCCGGGCUUAACUCGGAAAGGUCAACUGAUACUGUGCGACUAGAGUGCGGAAGGGGCAACUGGAAUUCUCGGUGUAGCGGUGAAAUGCGUAGAUAUCGAGAGGAACACCUGCGGCGAAGGCGGGUAGCUGGGCCGACACUGACGCUGAGGCGCGAAAGCCAGGGGAGCGAACGGG
rnacentral:rRNA from 1 species